CUGACCUUAGUUUAAACUAGAAUGAGGGUUUUGGGGAUCUUUGGUCUCGAUAGAGAGGUUUGA
rnacentral:tRNA from 3 species